UCCUAUAAUGCAAGUCGAGCGAAUGGAUUAAGAGCUUGCUCUUAUGAAGUUAGCGGCGGCACGGGUGAGUAACACGUGGGUAACCUGCCCAUAAGACUGGGAUAACUCCGGGAAACCGGGGCUAAUACCGGAUAACAUUUUGAACCGCAUGGUUCGAAAUUGAAAGGCGGCUUCGGCUGUCACUUAUGGAUGGACCCGCGUCGCAUUAGCUAGUUGGUGAGGUAACGGCUCACCAAGGCAACGAUGCGUAGCCGACCUGAGAGGGUGAUCGGCCACACUGGGACUGAGACACGGCCCAGACUCCUACGGGAGGCAGCAGUAGGGAAUCUUCCGCAAUGGACGAAAGUCUGACGGAGCAACGCCGCGUGAGUGAUGAAGGCUUUCGGGUCGUAAAACUCUGUUGUUAGUGGAGAACAAGUGCUAAUUGAAUAACCCUGGC
rnacentral:rRNA from 1 species